rnacentral:rRNA from 1 species
GAUGAACGCUGGCGGCGUGCCUAAUACAUGCAAGUCGAGCGAAUGAAGAGGAGCUUGCUCCUCUGAUUUAGCGGCGGACGGGUGAGUAACACGUGGGUAAUCUGCCUGUAAGACGGGGAUAACUCCGGGAAACCGGGGCUAAUACCGGAUAACAAAAGAAGAAGCAUUUCUUCUUUUUGAAAGUCGGUUUCGGCUGACGCUUACAGAGGAGCCCGCGGCGCAUUAGCUAGUUGGUGAGGUAACGGCUCACCAAGGCGACGAUGCGUAGCCGGCCUGAGAGGGUGAUCGGCCACACUGGGACUGAGACACGGCCCAGACUCCUACGGGAGGCAGCAGUAGGGAAUCUUCGGCAAUGGGCGAAAGCCUGACCGAGCAACGCCGCGUGAGCGAUGAAGGCCUUCGGGUCGUAAAGCUCUGUUGUUAGGGAAGAACACGUACGAGAGUAACUGCUCGUACCUUGACGGUACCUAACCAGAAAGCCACGGCUAACUACGUGCCAGCAGCCGCUGUAAGAC